UACGUACUGUGCGAACGUUAUUCGGAAUCACUGGGCUUAAAGGGUGUGUAGGCGGCUAACUAAGUAGGGUGUGAAAGGCCUUGGCCUAACCAAGGCAUUGCGCUCUAAACUGGUUGGCUUGAGUAAGAUAGGGGUGUGCGGAACUUCCAGUGGAGCGGUGAAAUGUGUUGAUAUUGGAAGGAACGCCGGUGGCGAAAAGCGGCACACUGGGUCUUAACUGACGCUGAGACACGAAAGCCAGGGGAGCGAACGGG
rnacentral:rRNA from 1 species